UUUAUACUUACAGACAUAAACAUGCCUUUAGCUGCAUGUUUGAAUAAUUAUGAGAAAAUAAAUUUUUAUAAAAUCAACGAAAAUUCUAAUUAUCUACAAUAUUUAUUGUAAUUAUAUUCUUCAUUAAAAUAGACAAUACAGUGAUAAUAACUUUGGUACAUAUAUUUAUUUCCAUAAAUAGAACUCGAUAAACUUAUUUUAAAAAUUAUAACCUAACUAAAAAAAAGUAAACAUUAAAACAUUUAACUGCUCAUGCAAUAAAAAUAAAGUGAAAACAAUGAGAAACAUCAAUAUGACCUAUAUGAUGUUGUUACGAUUGAGACCCUACAGAAUAGUUAAAUUAUACAACUGGAAUAAAUGCCUACAUAAUUUGAACAACCGGUUAUAUUGCAAUGCUGAUAAGAAAUUAAAUGAUUAUCAGUUAGCGAAGUUGAACAGAAAAGCGAAAAGAAAAGCGUUCAGAAUGCAAUUAGCACAAAAUAUCCGGGCUACGAGGGCUAAAAUGGAGGAAAUAAUUGAGAGGGAAAAUAUUUGGACAAUUCCGAAUUUUCUUUGCAUUGGCAGAAUCAUGACAACACCAUAUAUAAGUUAUUUAAUAGUGUGUUCACAUAAUUACCAUGCAGCGUUAUGGCUUCUAGGAUUCGCUGGAUUUACUGAUUUAGUUGAUGGGUGGGUUGCUAGAACUUGGAUUUCUCAAGCGUCUAAGUUGGGCAGCUUUUUGGACCCGAUGGCUGAUAAAUUACUUGUGGGAACACUAUUUCUAUCAUUAACUUGGGUGGAAUUAAUACCAUUACCUUUGACGUGUCUUGUUAUAAUGCGUGACGUUAUGCUGAUUGGUGCUGCAUCAUAUAUACGAUAUAGAUCAUUGCCUGCACCAAAAACUUUAGCAAGAUAUUUUGACCCUAGUCAUGCUACAGUUCAACUGGCGCCUACAUUUAUAAGUAAAUUAAAUACUGCCGUUCAAUUAUCACUAGUUGGUGGUACUCUAGCAGCGCCAGUAUUUCAUUUUAUAGAUCAUCCUAUUUUACAAGGAUUAUGUUAUUUAACAGCAGUAACAACAGUAGCUGGUGGCAUCAGUUAUUUGAUGUCCAAAAACACGUAUAAAUUAUUGUCGAAAAAAUCAUUUAAUAACGGAUCGUCAUCGUAAUAAUAAAGUAUUGGGGUAAAUUUAAGAUCCAGAGCCACCACUUGGCUGGUGAAAGAAAAUCCCAAGCAUAUUAAGAGAAAGUGGAGUAAAUCAUGAUUGGGUGGUUUAUACAUUUCAUAUGCGAAUUCUUCUUCAAAAACGUUGUCUUGUUCAAGUCCAAUAUAAUCUAUUUCAAGUCUAA